GGAGAUGUUUAUGUGGGAAGGAGAGUUCACCAUUAGAAAGGAUUCGUGAGUUGGGUUAAUAGCGUCCUCCGGCAGUUUGUUUCCUAU
rnacentral:rRNA from 1 species